CUUUGAGCCAAGCUGUUUGCUAGUGGGUAGCGGGUGGGUGACAUCUUCCCAUUGAAUGCAGACAACCUCUCGUUACUCUCCCUCCCAUUCUGAUUAGUAGUGCAAGGCUGUGGGGAGGUGUCGUAACUGUUGCUUGGUGAUGGGGACAUCCCAGAAUGCUGGGUCUGUGUUGAAGCUGUGGCUGUCGAGGAAGAUGCUGGGACGUUGUUGGUACUGUUGCUGUAGGAACCACCUCCAUAGCUAGACCUUCUUCCAAAUUUGUCACUAUGCUCUUGAUCAAGACGAUCCAAGGUUUCCAGCGCAUGGAGGAUUUCAUGUCUGGUCAUUCCUGUACGUCUCAGGCGCUGAAGCAGGUCUAUCUGCUCUAUGGUAAAUCUUGGUUCGUCUGUGUAGUGAGACAUGGUUUCCAGCAGGACUACUGGAAAAGUUCUGAGCAUACUUUACAUGGGGAUGGGACGUUAUAAAGCCUCUUGGGGGUCUUCAGUGUUAUUCACCAUUCCAGCCUGAGGGGACUCCGCCGCCGCGAGUUCGUCCUCCCC
rnacentral:lncRNA from 1 species